GAUGAAGAACGUAGCGAAAUGCGAUACGUAGUUUGAAUUGCAGAAUUCAGUGAAUCAUCGAAUCUUUGAACGCACAUUGCACCUCUCGGUAUUCCGGGAGGUAUGCCUGUUCGAGCGUCAUUUGUACCCUCAAGCUCUGCUUGGUGUUGGGUGUUUGUUCCGCCUCUGUGUGUGAACUCGCCUCAAAACAAUUGGCAGCCGGCGUACUUGUUUCGGAGCGCAGCACAUUUUGCGAUCCAGAUCAACGUACAGCGGCAUCCAAGAAGCCUUAUUUAACGCUCUUGACCUCGGAUCAGGUAGGGAUACCCGCUGAACUUAAGCAUAUCAAUAAGCGGAGGA
rnacentral:misc_RNA from 1 species